UGGCUCGGUGAGGCCUUCGGACUGGCCCAGGGAGGUCGGCAACGACCACCCAGGGCCGGAAAGUUGGUCAAACCCGGUCAUUUAGAGGAAGUAAAAGUCGUAACAAGGUCUCCGUAGGUGAACCUGCGGAGGGAUCAUU
rnacentral:rRNA from 16 species